AGAUUAACUACAGAAUGCCACAUGCCAAUCCCACAUCGGCCGCAUGUCAACUUAACCGGUCUUGGAAUGAGAGAUAAAUAGAGAGAGACGGUUCACUUUUAAACAUACUUACCUGGACGGGGUCGAUGGCCGAUCAAGAAGGGCUAUGGCCUAGGACAGUAACCUCCAUUGCACUUAGGAGGGGUACUGCCCUAAGAUCUGCCCAAGUGGCAGAGUCUACGUCAUAAUUUGUGGUAGAGGGGGUUCGCGUUCGCGCGACCCCUGCCCCAAUUAAGUAUCUAAAUGUUUGUUAGCAUAGCAAUUCAUCCCAAUUCAGUGUGAGUGUUUGCUAGCAUAGCAGUCUUCUAAUAUGGUCUAGGAUAGGAAGUUCUAUUAUGUGUUUGACAAGUAGGUAAGGUGGAUGUUUAUUAUUGAUACGAGAGCCAUUCUGCCUGAUUCACAUGGCUUGUUAAAAUUGGAUGGAAGUAACAAUUUACCGUAUUGGUAGUUUUGUAAAUUAUCAUCAGGGUGGUGACCUGAUGACAGGGAAGCCAGCGACUGAAGCCCCGGCCAUGUGAAUGGCAGAGUAAACCUGGUAAAGCCUAGUUGGAUGUUGGUGUAGAAUAUGCUGAUUCUUCGAUUUGAAGUCUUCAAAAACUGUCUGAAGUAGUAGUAAACAAAAUGUUCACUUGACUGAUCAGAACCCUGCUAAUUAUUGCAGUUUGAUUUUAUUGGGUACUAAUAAGUAUAGGGCCAUUGAACAUUGCUCUCAAAGACCACUGAUAAAAGCAUGAAUUUAUGGAGUACUAUUACACUAACAGAUUUUCAAUUUGAUACUUGGUUCUUACCUAUCAUCUGCUUAACAAACUCAUCGCCUUCCUUUUUUGAUUCCUUGCUGUCGGCUUAUUUCUUUUGGCUUUCUUCUCACUUUGAUCAACUACUGGGCUUUCAUUUCCCUUUUUGUUUGCUUCUUUAUCUUUUCCAUCAGUUGCUUCAUUUUGGGCCGUCUUUACCCUUGUGAGGAACUCAACAAGUCUUCCAAGGGCAAUGUCGGCUUCUUCACUUUUCAUGAGCUCUUCUGCAAUUGCUGCUGGGGUCACCUCUACCUCCACUAUCAGCUUUUCAAUUUCAGGAAACAACCUGUGAUCUCUUAUGCCUAGGUAGUUGGACGCAAGGGUCUUGAAUGCACAGGGAGUGCAGUAGGACAUGUGGAUGUGCAUGUCCAUGCGCCCCGGUCUCAACAAUGCAGGAUCUAGCCUUUCUUUGUGAUUAGUUGUGAGCACGAUUAUCCUCUCAUCACCACAGCUUGACCACAGCCCAUCAAUGAAAUUAAGCAACCCAGAUAAUGUCAACUGCAACUGUCAAUAACAAAAAGGAACAGUUUAUAAAGGGGAAAAAACCGGUAUGUAUACUUAUAUUUAUGUUCUUCCUCCAAAUUAGGCCUUCGUACUCUGUUCUUGUAACACAGGGUUUAUUAGUUUUUUGAGAGUGAGAAUUUAAAGGGACAAGAAAAACAUCAGUGGAAAUAUAAUUAUUGUGAUAAUAUGAUAAAAAUGUAGGGCUUCAUGAAUGUUAGUCCUUACAAACUCACCUGGCUGUCAUUGGGAUUAUGCCCUCCUGGUUGUUGGCUCUGCAGCUCACUGCUGCAGUCAAUAUCUUCAAUCACAAGUAUUGAUUGGUUCGUGGUUGAGACUAGAAUUCUUCUAAACUCUGAGUUGCAACGGAGACUGGUGAGCUCUAAGUCGUAGAUGUCAAAUUUCAGAUAGUUGGCCAUGGCUGCAAUCAAGCUUGACUUUCCAGUGCCUGGAGGGCCGUACAACAAAUAUCCUCUCUUCCAUGCCCUUCCAACUCUUUUAUAGUACUUCUUUCUCUUGACAAAUCGAUCCAAGUCAUUUAUCAAGUCCUGCUUGAGCUUUGAAUCCAUUGCCAGUGUUUCAAAAGUUGAUGGAUGGUGGAGGUUGGUUGAUUCCCAUGACCCACCAUAUGAAUAGAGCUUCAGCACCUUGUUUUCUUCUAUGAAGGCUUUUGAUCUCUCCACCACAUAUGGCAAGUAAGAGCUCAGAAUCCUAUCCAUGUUUUUCUUAGGGAAACUGAGCUCCAUCGAUCUUGCUUCAUAAUCUACGCCUUCAAUGGACCGCUUCUUGGUACAAACCAUUUCCCAUUUGACCUGAAUUCCUUCGAAUAUGUCAAUAGCCGUUUCACCUUCAGCAAUGGUGAUUGAAAGGUUCUUGCCUUCUGGAGCUUGGAAAACGUUAAGCUUUUGAACUGAUGGAGGGAUUUUUGUACGCAGGAAGAUUUUGCAAGCCUCAUACAUUUGAUUGGCCGCAUACCCAUCGUAAUCAUCAAAGAUGAAAGUAAUUUGAGAAGAGGGAUUACCAAGAAGGCUUCCAAUCUUGGACAAGAUUUUCUCCUGGAUUUUUGGAGGUAUGAUCUGGGUGACUGUGGUCUGAAUUUCACUGAACACCGUCCGGAACAGCAUUGCUGAUGCAGCAAAGGUGCUGUAUGUUGACAGAACGGUUGUUGCUGAAGGCAUACUUGUCAGGGAAAAUAUGUUUGGCAUUUUGACCAUGGUUGGAAGAAAAUUUUUGAGGUUUGAAUGUUGGCAAACCUGAAGGCCCCUUAUAUAAAUGGCUUGUUACAGUGCAACACUGACUGAAGGAACUUAAUUGCUAACACUAGCAGCAGAAAAAGUGUCAUGGAAUCUCAUUUACUUGAAAAAUAAGCAAAGAAUGUGGUAAGUCAAAAUGAUGGGGGGCCUCCUUAUGGUAAUCUCCUGCAGAUUAAUGAAUUUUACCAAAUCUUCUUCUUGUCAAACACCAAAUC